rnacentral:rRNA from 1 species
UAAAGCUUAAUAUAUCGUGCCCCAAAUACCAUUAAUCACCCCCAACCCUUCAACACCACUGAACCACUUUAUAAACAUAUAAAAGCUAUUAUGCUAGAACUAGUAACAAGAAAUAGACUUUCUCCUCAAUGCACGCUUGAACCAAAUCGGACCAUCCAUUGGUAAUUAACGUUAAUGUAAAAGUUAUAGCAUAUUUGACUAGCAAACCCUAUUACACCUCAACGUCUACCUAACACCAGAGCAUUAAAGAAAAGAUUAAAAAAGAAAGAAGGAAUUCGGCAAAUACUAGCCCCGCCUGUUUACCAAAAACAUCGCCUCUUGUCUAAAUAUAAGAGGUCCAGCCUGCCCAGUGACAUAGUUCAACGGCCGCGGUACCCUAACCGUGCGAAGGUAGCAUAAUCACUUGUUCUCUAAAUAAGGACUAGUAUCAAUGGCAUCACGAGGGCUACACUGUCUCCUUUCUUAAAUCAGUGAAACUGAUUCUCCCGUGAAGAAGCGGGAAUACCCCUAUAAGACGAGAAGACCCCAUGGAGCUUUAAACUCAACGCACACCUCCUGAGUACCUAAACCCCCAUAACCAAUUUAAAUUGUGCGCUAGUUUGGGUUGGGGAGACCGCGGAGUAAAACUUAACCUCCACAACAAACGGAUUAACACCCUUAUCUAAGAACCACACCUCUAAGAAUCAGCAAACUGAUGUCCCAUGACCCAUUUUAUGAUCAACGAACCAAGUUACCCUGGGGAUAACAGCGCAAUCUACUUCGAGAGCUCAUAUCGACAAGUAGGCUUACGACCUCGAUGUUGGAUCAGGGAAUCCCAGUGGUGCAGCCGCUACUAAAGGUUCGUUGUCAACGAU